GAGUGAACCCAGAUCUUUUAGAAUUUUUCUAGCAGCUUUUCUGACUUUGGUCAGAAAACCUAU
rnacentral:snRNA from 1 species